GCCAGUGAGAAGCCCCCCAUGGAAGCCAGGCGGAGCCUCCCACGCAACGGUCCAGAAAACAACCAGCCGGCGGGUGGUGAAGAGUCCCAGUUUGAGAUGGACAUUUAAAGGACCAGCCACUGGAGUGAGCACUGCCUCAGGCCCUUCUUGAGAGUCCCUGUUGGGAGAAGAAUCACACCAGCCAGGUCUAGUGAACCGUUACCACCCUGGCUGGCAUCGGGUGUGUGGGGUCGGCUAACUGGCCUUUCCCCCCCACCCCCACCCCCCUCAGCACCAGCAGAUGCCUCCGUGUGCCUCUGUGAAUGCAGGAGUUGUCACGCCCAGGGGAGUGACCCUCAGGCACAUCCCUGCAGCCGAGGGGCUGGAAGUGGACACGGAGGAGCCCUUCUGAUGCUGGUCCUGCUCUUCCAGCCCGUCCUCUGAGCAUGCUCCUUCUUUAGGUUGGUGUGCCCUGGGAAAGGAUCCCCACCCCCCCUCCCCCAGAGAGGAAAUAAAAGCCAUCUUCAUCCUGGGGCCAA